rnacentral:tRNA from 1 species
AAAAAUAAAGCCUUAAAAUAAAGCUUGUCCCAAUUUUAAUAAACAGGACGUUUCAAAGGUUUCUUUAAAAUCUUAUAAAUCUUAAAGAUUAUGAACUUUAAAAAGGCUCUAUGAAGAAAGCAGCUUAAGCUUUUCCAAUACUUUAAGAUGAUACCGGGGAAGGUUUUCCGGUUUGUUCCGGAGGGCUUGUAGCUCAGUUGGUUAGAGCGCGCGCUUGAUAAGCGUGAGGUCGGAGGUUCAAGUCCUCCCAGGCCCACCAAUUUAUGCUCAUUUUUUGCUAUCUUUAAGUUUUACUUAUCUUAAGAGCGUGAAGCUUAAGCGUGUUAAAGCCUCUUUCAAAUCUUUGUUCCCUCUUUAAAUCUUUAUUCCCCUCUUUAAAUCUUUAUUCCCCUCUUUAAAUCUUUAUUCCCCUCUUUAAAUCUUUAUUCCCCUCUUUAAAUCUUUAUUCAUUGUUAAAGAUUUUAUUAUCCAAAGGUUGUUUAUUCAAUCUAUUCCAUUAAGUUUGUCAGAGAGGAUUUAAAAAUCCCUUCAUCGAGAUUCCUCCAAUGGAAAAUCCUCCAGUGGGAAAAAUGGAAAAGUAGAGAACUGGAAAAGACAAAAUCAAAAUGGUGCCGCUAAAAAUAGCGCAGGAAAUUCGAAUUGAUAAACGAGGCCCAAUUGAUACAAUGAGUCAGAUUGUGCAAUCAGUUGAAUUGUAAAAUUA